ACUAGUGAUUACUCCUACGGAGGCAGCAGUGGGGAAUUUUGGACAAUGGGGGCAACCCUGAUCUAGCCAUGCCGCGUGCGGGAAGAAGGCCUUCGGGUUGUAAACCGCUUUUGUCAGGGAAGAAACGGUCUGCGCUAAUACCGCGGACUAAUGACGGUACCUGAAGAAUAAGCACCGGCUAACUACGUGCCAGCAGCCGCGGUAAUAAUCCCGCG
rnacentral:rRNA from 1 species